rnacentral:rRNA from 1 species
GGUAUAGUCUGCCCAGUGAAAUAAGUUAUUUUUAACGGCCGCAGUACUUUGACUGUGCUAAGGUAGCAAAAUAAAUUGGCUUUUAAUUAAGGUCGAGAAUGAAUGGCAUUAUGGGUGAUAUCUGUCUCUUGUAAUAAAUAUAAAAAUUAAUUAGUAGGUGAAAAUGCCCACAGGAUCUACAUUAGACGAGAAGACCCUUAGAGUUUAUAUUAAGUAGAUUUUAUAUUAAUUUAAUUUUUUUGUUGGGGCGACACAGUAGCACAUAAAAAACCUACUAAGCAAUUAAUUAUAUUUUACAAGUCUUUUUAACAUAUGAAUAUAACUACCUAAGGGAUAACAGCAUAAUUUUUUUAAAGAUUGUGACCUCGAUGUUGGACUAGGGACUAAGGUUGUUAGCCACCAC